CAGGGGGCGUCGGGGAGCAGCAGCAGCCGAGAGAGAGAGAGAGAAAGGAAGGCGGGCGGACUGAUCGAUCAGCAGCGGCCUUGACGAGCGCCGAGGAGGAAGGAUGACGAUGAGCACGUCUAAAAACGGGUCUGUAAUAUAAAAUCAGGUCCAUUAAGCUUAAAAAAAGAUUCAAUAACAUUCUAAUGCAUAUAUCCACUAAAGAAUAGAAAAAAAUGGUUUCAUAUAAAAAUGCAAAAGUAGUAAGGAGUUAAAAAAAAUUUUUUUUUUUACUUUUAAGUGUUAUCUCACCCAACCCUCUGGUAGAUGCUUCAAUAACUCAUUCAGUGAUUUUAAGUUGCCAUGUAUUUCAUUUACUACCCUGCCAACAGCGGGUACUAAAAUUGUAAUCCAGCAUACCCUUGGACACAUUCAUAUACGCAUAAGGCCUUUUUAAUAGUGAUGGCAGACAUGGAGCGUUCGAGAGAUCGAAUCGACUGAAACGAUUGAUUUACAAAAAGAUACGUUCGAAACAGCACAUCACAGUGACACCUAGUGAAAGAAACUUAUCAAUAAAUGUUACCUUGAAACCAAAACAUUCUCUUGAUCUGUUUGCUGUCCUUUGAUGUACUAGUCCAAUAUUUGUCUACAUUCAUAUCUAUAUGAAUAUACUGUACCUACAUCAGUUGUACAUAAACGUGAAGCAUGUACUUUGUAUCUCUGAACAUUCCACACUUUUCAGGCUCAGAGUACAAAUGAUUAGACCUAACGAGAACAACGUUUGACGUUAAAGGAGGUGCCCGCCAAUGAUAUUAUUGUGGCUUAAGCUCAGUGUUGGGCUUCUCAAUGUCUCCUCCUGCUCUUAACUGCAAAUGUCAACUUUCUUUCAGAAACCUUAAAAUUGUAAGUCUAUUCUUGCUAGACCCUUACCUGCUGGAGAAGAUGGCCUGUGUGUAGUUCGGGACCGAAGGUGUUAGAAGAGAGGCAGAUGUAGAAAAAUAGGUAGAUACAAUUCCAAAAGUAAAGAAAAUGAAUAGACUCAUCUCCUCCAGUGGUUAUACUCCUACACUCCCAUCUGUCUGCAGCUGCACGGUUCCUCAGAAUGACAUUUUAAAUUACCUGCCAGCAUCACAGAUCAUCACGGGCAAGGUCCACACAUGACUCUACCAAUGGAGUGACAGAAAAUGAAGAAAGAAACUGACAAUCCCUCCUAAAUCCCAAAUGUGUGUGUGUGUGAAUGGAACUGGCGACUCUAAAUUGGCUCCAUAUUAGUGAGUGUGCCCUGUGAUAGACUGGUACACAGACUCCAUUUGGUGCAGAUCAACAACCCUGUCUUUCAGGAAGGCCUUGGCUUCUACCAACACACCUUCAGAUCUCCUCAUGACUCUAGACUCAGUCUACCUUCUGUUUUCUAAAGACAUUAAGACCCCGUCUGGGUUCAGUUCUAGCUAACCUGAGUCCAAGUCAAUGUUGGCUCUUCUAUGGCUACAAGACCUCCAGAAUAGAUGUUGCUCUGCUGAUUCCUGUUGGACAUGUUCCUCUGAGAUAUUAGUAGCUUUUAAAUGAGCAGUUCUGUCUGUAAGCAUGUCAUCUUGCUGUUCCCUUAAAAAAGCAACACUCUGCUUUAAUCUGGGAGCAGGGUGAGGCUCAGUAGCAGUUGGUUGGUAGUAUAGUGGCCUCCUGCCAGUCCUCCUUGGCUUUACUCUAGAAUGGACAAAAUGGUCCUUGAUUUCCUGGCUAGGAAAACGAUGCUGCCACAAGUUGACUGGGAUGUGUUUUGGCCUUUUGACAAACCUCAAUAGCCACUCUGUAUCUGUAAAAAGGAGGCCAGUCACCCCUUUGAGUAUUGAAUGUUUUGACCUCUACCAUCUUGAUAAUUAAUUUUCUUUUAACCUGGCUUUGCCCAUACUUUUCUAUAGGGUGGUCCAAAUCUAAUUACUGUAUGC